rnacentral:snRNA from 1 species
AGCGAUUUCAGCUCUUUUAGAAUUUUUCUAGCAGGUUUCCUGAGUUUGUUUGGAAAAUCCAA